GACGAACGCUGGCGGCGUGCCUAAUACAUGCAAGUAGAACGCUGAAGAGAGGAGCUUGCUCUUCUUGGAUGAGUUGCGAACGGGUGAGUAACGCGUAGGUAACCUGCCUUGUAGCGGGGGAUAACUAUUGGAAACGAUAGCUAAUACCGCAUAACAAUGGAUGACACAUGUCAUUUAUUUGAAAGGGGCAAUUGCUCCACUACAAGAUGGACCUGCGUUGUAUUAGCUAGUAGGUGAGGUAAUGGCUCACCUAGGCGACGAUACAUAGCCGACCUGAGAGGGUGAUCGGCCACACUGGGACUGAGACACGGCCCAGACUCCUACGGGAGGCAGCAGUAGGGAAUCUUCGGCAAUGGGGGCAACCCUGACCGAGCAACGCCGCGUGAGUGAAGAAGGGUUUCGGAUCGUAAAGCUCUGUUGUAAGUCAAGAACGGGCGUGAGAGUGGAAAGUUCACACUGUGACGGUAGCUUACCAGAAAGGGACGGCUAACUACGUG
rnacentral:rRNA from 1 species